UACGUAGGGGCAGCAGUGUUCGGUUCGAUUUGUGGCGUAAAGAGCGUGUAGGCGGUUUGGUAGGUCCGUUGUGAAAUCGCCCGGCUCAACUGGGCGGGGUCAGCGGAUACGGCGGAGCUUGAGCAAGCUAGGGGGCAAUGGAAUUCCCGGUGUAGUGGUGGAAUGCGUAGAUAUCGGGAGGAACACCAGUGGCGAAGGCGGUUGCCUGGGGGCUUUUGCUGACGCUGAUGCGCGAAAAGCGUGGGGGAGCGAUCCGGG
rnacentral:rRNA from 1 species